GACGAACGCUGGCGGCGUGCUUAACACAUGCAAGUCGAACGAAGAGCGAUGGAAGCUUGCUUCUAUCAAUCUUAGUGGCGAACGGGUGAGUAACGCGUAAUCAACCUGCCCUUCAGAGGGGGACAACAGUUGGAAACGACUGCUAAUACCGCAUACGAUCUAAUCUCGGCAUCGAGGAUAGAUGAAAGGUGGCCUCUACAUGUAAGCUAUCACUGAAGGAGGGGAUUGCGUCUGAUUAGCUAGUUGGAGGGGUAACGGCCCACCAAGGCGAUGAUCAGUAGCCGGUCUGAGAGGAUGAACGGCCACAUUGGGACUGAGACACGGCCCAGACUCCUACGGGAGGCAGCAGUGGGGAAUCUUCCGCAAUGGACGAAAGUCUGACGGAGCAACGCCGCAUGAGUGAUGACGGCCUUCGGGUUGUAAAGCUCUGUUAAUCGGGACGAAAGGCCUUCUUGCGAAUAGUGAGAAGGAUUGACGGUACCGGAAUAGAAAGCCACGGCUAACUACGUG
rnacentral:rRNA from 1 species